rnacentral:misc_RNA from 1 species
AAAGUGAUUACAACUUAAGAUAAGACGAAAUUCCGUUAGAUAUAUGUUAGAGAAUCCUAUUGCUACUCUAUGCGGGAUCAACCCAUCUGUAAAAUUGUAGUUCAUAACACAAAACUCUAUCAUUCUGUUUUGCCACUUUUCCUUAUGAUACCUUUCAAAGCUUUUAACCUGUGAAUCUUUUCUUUGGAGUUUUGAAAAUUUUUUGAAA